GCCAAAACGAGUAUCUUAUCAACCAAGCGUGGGGGCUGAGAGCCAACCUGGGAGGGGCUGAGCGGGUGCCUCUGGACCAGAGACUGAGAUCCCGCAGCCCACGGAGAGGACAGACUCUCCCGAUAGACAACCCGAGGAGACCACCUGAUGAAGAAGGACCGGAAGUGUUUUACACGCAAACUCAUUCACAAAUAGAUUCAUCAAGGGGGACAGUUACCAAGUGAGAUUAAAGCCGUGGGAAGUUCAAGCGAUGAUGGAGGAAGGUAGGUGAGGAAAGGCGUAAAUGGAGGAGAGGAAUGAAUGGACAUGGAGAAAGGCGAGAGGGGACAAACAAGUCAGAGGAGAAAUGAGCAGGAACGUUGGACUUCGAACGGAAGCAGGCGCCCCGGGGCUGACGUGGUCAGGACAACCCGGAAGCCUGGCCUGGAGGGGCCAAACGACGGCCACUCGCAGAGCAGGGGCGGACGCAGAGCUGGCACACGAACACCAGCCUCCUCCGGGGUCGGGGGUGAACCCCGGCCUCACCCUCCUCUCAGGCCGGCUGGAGGGCGGGCGUGAAGGACAGCGGAGGAGGGGGAGAGGCAGCCGUUACCCUGGGGCGCACCUCUCGGCACCCUGUAAGCUCCAGGCCCGCCAGCGGCUGGGCACGCUCCACAGAGACUUGGUGGCAUUUUGUUACAGCAGCCCUGGAAACAAAUACAGGGACUAAGUCCAGAUAGAUGGGGAGGGACUCCAGGAGGCUCACGGUGCAGCUAAGCGUUGCCCAGGAAGGACAAAGGACCACCCACCAAGCCGCAGGCAGCGGAAGACACCAGAAGAGGAAAUACGGAAAACACAGACCGCAUCUUAGGCAGUGCCGCAGGGAUUUCACCGGGGACCCGAUAUUUCCUUCUCUCUGGAGAGACUUCUCGGCCCACGCCUCAUCCCUCCCCGGGAUCCCUGCUCCCUCAGUUUGCUGUGCACCAAGACAUCUACUGUGCUGUCGGUCCCAGGGCCAAGAGCUGCUGGAGGUGGAAAGAUGUCUGUGAUGCCAUGUUAUCCUCCAGGAGCUGAUGUCGCCCCCGGGUGCUGCUGGGCAUGGACAGAACAGUAACAGAAGGCAGAAAGUGAUGUUGCCGAAGUUGCCUCUUACAAAACAACUUGAGUAAAAAACAAACUCAUGUGGCGGAUACAGGUCAUCACGCAUUUGUCCAGACCUAAGGAAGAUCCCAAGAGUGAGCCCUACUGCAAACUGGGACUGUGGUAAGGUGCCACCGAUGCCCACUGUGACAUCAAAACUGACAGGGGAGGAGGCUGUCCUUAAAACUCUAAAAAUAAAAUCUCCUCAGGCCUCUUCAAUGUCCCCUGUAUUGCGUGUGUGCAAGGUGUGAGUGUGUAUUGUCCAUGUAUCAGUAUUGGGAUGAAUUUUAUCGUGUGGCCUCCUGUGGUUUAAGACUGAGGCUGUUUCUAUGUCCUGCAAAUCUCUUCAGAUCUGCACAAGAGAACACUGGAAAGCUGAAGCACUUACAGUGGACCCUCGAGUUUCAACUGGCCCGACAUACAAACAACUUGGGUUGUGACCAGAAUUUUAGUUUUAACUUACAACCAAAGUUUUGAGUUACAACUUGAAUCCCAGCCGCUUGUGCUUCCAGAUGGUCUCGGGUGCAGAUCUAACCCUUAGAGAGUCUGGAAGGAACAUGACAGCAUCCUCUCCUGUGUGGGGUUCACUGAGAAAUCCUGGGUCAGUG